UGGCGGCGCGCGGGCGGAGAUCGCCCGCGUCCCGCCGCGCCGGGCUCCUUCGGUAACGGAUGGGGCGGCGAACUAGAGAGGUCUGGGCGCAUCAGGCAAGUUGCGUGCGGCGAGCGGCGUCUGCUCAAAAAGGCUACAGUGCUCGUUGUACAGCAUGGUGAUGAUGUGAAGCCUUAAGAGACGUUUCUGGCAUACUGGAGUAGGAUUCCUGAAGACAAGGCAGGAAUAGAAACACAGCAUUUGAGUUCACCAAUGACUGAAGAAGCAACCUUCUAGACCCUCAUUAAUUAUUUUGCUCGGAGAGGACUCUGUCCUCUGUUUUCCAUGUGCAUAUGUUUCAGCUGUACACUUGGGCCAGGCUCUGUCCAGCUUUUCACCCACUUAAACUGUUCUUCAUUUAUUUUCCAAAGAACUUACUAAGAAUUGUAAUUU
rnacentral:lncRNA from 1 species